rnacentral:lncRNA from 1 species
CACUGUCAAAGGACAUCAAGUCCUCUUCUUUGUCUGACAAAGAAGUCGUGGUCUCAACGGGCCUGGGCCCCGGCGCCAUAUUGGCCCGGGAGACUGCGUCAGAAUCACUGGCGGGUGUCAGCCCCUUACCAUCUCGGAGAGCUACCUCCCCAGCCUGUAUAGCCUGCGCCACCAGUGGAUCCCUCGCUUUAUGAGAAAUAAUAUCAUUAAUCAAAUUCCAAUAUGAGAACGCCGCAAUAGGGACCUUCCUGGGUCCGCAAGUGGCAUAAUAAUCCUGGAGAGCUUCCCCCACCUUUUUCCAUCUCUGUUCAUCAAUGGUUCCCUCAGCAGGGAACCAGGGACAGAGAUCUUUAAUAUAAUCAAAAAAUCUUAACAACUGUUUGACUGUAACCUUUACCCCUCCUGCCUGUAAUGUCUUCUUGAGACCUUGCACAAACAAUUCGUGCUGACUAAUGCCCUGUCCCAUAAUCGCUGCUCAACUUACCGAGGUGCAAAAAGACGGCAGGUCCACGUCAAUUGCAAGGCUCUCCCGUGUCAAGUGUGCUCUUUGUUCCUCAAUCUUAAUCUUAGGGCCCCUGAGCAGCGUCCUUCACUGGAUCCCCCGUUCUCUGGCCGCACGUUGGGCGCCACUUGUCCCGGCCCGCGGAACAAAAUAUUCAUCUGCAAAACAACCGCUGGAAACAGACUGGAGUUUGAUACCUGUGGGACAGUAUGGCUGCAUUGUAAUUAAAAUUCUGACAGAUGACAAUGGUAAGUCUACUUCAGGCAUCUGACUGAAGUUGCAAUAGACACUGAUUUUUAAAUCCCAUUUGCAGAUAAAUUUUGCUCAGAGCUACCAGAUACCUGUAUUAGAAU